rnacentral:rRNA from 1 species
GAUGAACGCUGGCGGCGUGCCUAAUACAUGCAAGUCGAGCGAACGUACGAGAAGCUUGCUUCUCUGAUGUUAGCGGCGGACGGGUGAGUAACACGUGGAUAACCUACCUAUAAGACUGGGAUAACUUCGGGAAACCGGAGCUAAUACCGGAUAAUAUUUUGCACCGCAUGGUUCAAAAGUGAAAGACGGUCUUGCUGUCACUUAUAGAUUGAUCCGCGCUGCAUUAGCUAGUUGGUAAGGUAACGGCUUACCAAGGCAACGAUGCAUAGCCGACCUGAGAGGGUGAUCGGCCAAACUGGAACUGAGACAGGGUCAAGACUCCUAAGGGAGGCAGCAGUAGGGAAUCUUCCGCAAUGGGCGAAAGCCUGACGGAGCAACGCCGCGUGAGUGAUGAAGGUCUUCGGAUCGUAAAACUCUGUGAUUAGGGAAGAACAUAUGUGUAAGUAACUGUGCACAUCUUGACGGUACCUAAUCAGAAAGCCACGGCUAACUACGUG